rnacentral:tRNA from 1 species
ACUCAAAUAGCUUAAGGAAAGAGUGUAAUAUUGAAGCUGUUAAGGUGAUAGGAUAUCUUUGAGUA